UUGUUUUGGCGGCACGUAUACUAAAAUUGGAACGAUACAGAGAAGAUCAGCAUGGCGCCAGGGCGACAUGCAAAUUUGUGAAGUGUUCCAUAUUUUG
rnacentral:snRNA from 1 species